CCAACUACGCCCCCUAUCCGCCCGGGUACUACGAGCACCAGCUUAAAACCCAAAGGACUUGGCGGUGCUUCACAUCCGUCUAGAGGAGCCUGUUCUAGAACCGAUAACCCCCGUUAAACCUCACCCUCCCUUGUUAAUACCGCCUAUAUACCGCCGUCGUCAGCCUACCCUGUGAAGGACUAGAAGUGAGCAAGAUUGGUAAGACCCAAAACGUCAGGUCGAGGUGUAGUGUAUGAGAGGGGAAGAAAUGGGCUACAUUUCCUAAGUCAGGAAAUACGAAUAAUGAACUGAAAUAAGCAUUAGAAGGUGGAUUUAGCAGUAAGCAGUAAAACAGAGUGUUCUGCUGAAAUAUGGCAAUAAAGCACGCACACACCGCCCGUCACCC
rnacentral:rRNA from 1 species